UUAUAGCUGAUCAAUAAGGGCGACUAAAUAAAAUUCGCCCUCUUUGAUCAAACAAUAAGGGCGACUUAAACAAUCGCCCUCUUUGAUAAACAAUAAGGGGGCAAAUUAAUAGUAGUUGUCGUCUUUGCUUGCACAAAUAAACAAAUACUUCUACUGUACUCCGUAAAACAAACCCCAAAAUCAAAAAUUGUAAAACCCCUCUCUCUCCUCACAAUGCGAUAACUACACUUCGAAUUCUCCAUUGAAGCGAGUUUGAGCUUUCUCGAUCCUCCAUUGAAGCGAAUUUGAGCUUUCUUGAUCCUCCAUUGAAGCGACUUUGAGCUUUCUCCUCCAUUGAAGCGGCUUCUCAGAUGCUAUGACAGAAUAUUCCCAAAAACAUAGGUUAUAUUGGUCCAAAAUACAUGUUUUCGGUGCAACACUCAAAACAUUCCUAGUCCAGCACUUCAAAUGAAGUCAAACAGUUGCCAUCUUGGUUGUCCGUUGAGGCACCUGUUUCAGGGUAUACUUCCGUAUUGCUCGAUUAUCGGGUAGGUUGGGACAUCUUACGACAUACUCCCCACAAAAAGUUAAAAAGCUACUCUUUGGCCAUAUGAAAUCUGAUGAUAGUGUGCACAUCAUGAAUUGAAUAACUACAAAAUGAAAAUAAUAUGCUGCGAGCUGAAUUGGAAGUUUCUAAGAAGAAACAAGAUGACCUAGAACAAAAGAUUCGGUUAGUCGUGGAGAAGAUUGGCCUUGAUGCUUGAUAGAGGACUCAAAACUGUUUCUUACCUGAAUCUGUCAAGUUUGCAGUCAGGGGAUCAAGUCAAUGUGCUGAUGUUUUGGGGAUAAACACCAAAAGGCGGGUUGCAUUACAGAUGGAAAAAAAAGGGGAUGCUAGAAGCUGCAAGAAUGAGAAGUUGCUUGAUAGUUCAUGUCCUAGAAAAAACAUUAUUAAAUUUUAGUACUCUUUGGAUUAGCUAUUUGCUAUUUAUAAAUACUUGAUUAAUACUUUUGUUUA